UCCUUGGUUACAUCCUAGCUACAGCCAGGACAUGUGAAGGACAAUCAAUGAACCAGCAGGCAAGCAGCAUGAAUAGGGAGGGAAGAAAGCCUUCCUCCUGGGCUCUUCUCACAAAGAAAAUGACCAUCUAAAACAACAGGAUUAACAAACCAGCCUCUGGAAGCGUGUUGGGGGAUACUGGAGAAGAGUAUUUUUAGGAGGUGUUACUGUGAAGCAUAGCAGGUGGCCAGAUGGUAAUGGAAGGAAACACAGCCCCUUCUAUCAUCUACAAGAACAACUGAGUGGCAUUCAGGAAUUCAAGAUGUUAGUGGAGGAAACAACUACAGAUUUGGUGGAAAUAGUAAGAAAACUAGAAUUGAAAGUGGAGCCUGAAGAUGUGACUGAAUUGCUGUAAUCUUAUGAUAACAUUUGAAUGGAAGAGGAGUUGCUUCUUUUAGAAUAAAAAAGUGAGUUUUUUUGUUUGUUUGUUUUGUUGAGACAGAGUCUUGCUCUGUCACCCU